rnacentral:lncRNA from 10 species
CAAAAAGGACUUAAUAACUCUGUCUGGCUGCCCCCUGGCGGACAAAAGCAUUCGAAGUAUGCUGGCCACCAGCUCCCAAGAACUCAAGAUCCCUGUCCAAGGCCCUAGGGCCCUAGAUCACCUGCUUAUGUUCAGUGACUUCCUGAACUAGCUCUUUCGCCACAAGACCCUUGGAACUUUCUUCAUGGAAUGUAAACGCCUGGAGGGCUUCCUCUUACCUAACGGCUGUAAAGUCUGUAGCCUCAUCCAAAACAGUGCCUCAUGGAAAAGUAGAUUUAGGAUCUCAAAACGGACAGCAUUAGCAAGAGCAGUUCAACCCACUUUGUUCAGGCGUCUUUUGUAUGGCUCGAAACCACAUUUCCCUCAUGGUCAAAACAUGACUAACUCCACUUGGAACUU